CGUGUAGGCGGUUAGGCAAGUCAGGUGUGAAAUCCCUUGGCUCAACCAAGGGAAGUGCGCUUGAAACUGCUUAACUAGAGUACAGGAGGGGAAAGUGGAAUUCCCAGUGUAGAGGUGAAAUUCAUAGAUAUUGGGAGGAACACCGGUAGCGAAGGCGGCUUUCUGGCCUGAUACUGACGCUGAGACGCGAAAGCGUGGGGAGCAAACA
rnacentral:rRNA from 1 species